GAUGAAGAACGUAGCGAAAUGCGAUAAGUAAUGUGAAUUGCAGAAUUCAGUGAAUCAUCAAAUCUUUGAACGCACAUUGCGCCCGCCAGUAUUCUGGCGGGCAUGCCUGUCUGAGCGUCAUUUCAACCCUCAUGCCCCUAGGGCGUGGUGUUGGGGAUCGGCCAAAGCCCGCGAGGGACGGCCGGCCCCUAAAUCUAGUGGCGGACCCGUCGUGGCCUCCUCUGCGAAGUAGUGAUAUUCCGCAUCGGAGAGCGAUGAGCCCCUGCCGUUAAACCCCCAACUUUCCAAGGUUGACCUCAGAUCAGGUAGGAAUACCCGCUGAACUUAAGCAUAUCAAUAAGCGGAGGA
rnacentral:misc_RNA from 1 species